CCCUUAUGGAAACCUGCAGAAAUCUGAGAGUAGGAAACUUGAGUAUCUCCACACCACCUGAAUCAACUAUUUAUUGUAUGGCUAACUGCCCCACGGGUUUGCUUUGCAGACAGACUAUCACUAUAGCAGAGCAGACAAUAUAUUUAUAACUGAGCCAGGGGGAAAAAUAAGAACAUGAAGCUUUUAAUAAUAGAAACAUGAAGAGGCAGAGCAAGAUGGCUGAAUAGAAGCCUCCACUGAUCAUCCUCCCUACAGGAACACCAAAUUAAACAACUGUCCACACACAAAAAAUCACCUUCAUAAGAAUCAAAAAUUAGAAACAUGGCUGGAGGCUGCUUGUCCCUGUUACUACUCUCUAGGCUUGACAGGUUUGAAGCAGUGAUUUCAGUUGAUCAGGUGAUUCUUCUGGUCUGGAAUGGCUCACCUUAUAGUUGGAUGCUCUUGGACGGCUUUAUUCGCUUUUGUGGCAGUUGGCAAGCUGAUUGGUCUAGGGGAAUCUCAGCUGGGAUGCUUCAUCUUUGCUGCACGUGUUCUCUUAUCCUCUAGCACUUCGAACUUCUUCACGUGGUAGUCUCAGGUUCCACAGAGCAGCCGGCAAGCAAGCCCCAGUGCCUGUGUACUUCUCAAGCCUCAAACUUAGACCUGAAUCUUCAGAGGGAAAGUCUCAACUUCCCUACCAGACCAAAAGCCAGCACUUGGUAUACUCUUAAAUUUGUAAUUCCUGUGUGGGAAUCAAGCCUCAAGAAUUUCAGCAUUGAGUAGAAGCAAUAAAUCAAGGACAACCUGAGAUCAUGAUCAUCCUUUGCUUCUUUUCUGCCUCUUACCAGCUGCAUAAUUUGGAAAAGCCUCCCCUGUAGAAAAGUUUAGCAAUUGUACUAAGAUGUUUGUUGUGAUCAUUAAAUAAAAGAACA